rnacentral:rRNA from 1 species
UACGUAGGGUGCGAGCGUUGUCCGGAUUUAUUGGGCGUAAAGAGCUUGUAGGCGGCUCGUCACGUCGGGUGUGAAAACUCGCGGCUCAACCGCGAGCCUGCACCCGAUACGGGCGGGCUGGAGUUCGGCAGGGGAGACUGGAAUUCCUGGUGUAGCGGUGGAAUGCGCAGAGUACUAGGAGGAACACCGGUGGCGAAGGCGGGUCUCCUGGGCCGAUACUGACGCUGGAGAAGCGAAAGCGUGGGGAGCGAACAGGAUAGAUACCGUG